AUGGGAGGCGCAGACGGAACCCGGCGCCUGCGCCAGUGCCUCCCCAGGUUGGAGCCCAGCGGACCAGCCAACCUCCGGGCCGAGCAACCUCAGGGAGUCCGGGGCUCCUCGUCCCGCUCCCGCUGUCUCCUCCGCCCCCGGCGGGCCCGCCAGCACAGGAAAGCGGCAGUCAGGAGGCCAAGGCCGGAGCCAAGGGCGGCCACUGACACCCCCUGGGCGAGGUCCAGGCGGGGUCCCCGCAGCGAGAAGGUGAUGCCCGUGGCAGCCGCUCCGACUAGCGUGGACACGGCGCCGAAAGGGAAGAUGCAGCGGUGCCAGGAGCUGCCAGCUCCGCCAGUGGCCAGUGCCAAGACGCGGAUUGGAAGAAGGAACCGUGAUGUCACUGGGGGACACUGGGGCCGUUAACCCUUUGGGGAGCCCUCCAACAAAGGCUAGGUAGUAGAAGACGGCUUCAGAAAGAUGCCAUAGCAAAGAUGAAAAACCCUGAGAACGGGUAAGGAGAUGGGGGCUAAAAGGGACCUCAGGACACAAAACAUCUCGCGGGGAAGGGAUCUUGGUCUAGAACAGAGCGCCAGAGCGGGGAAAGGACGUUUGAAGAAUUCUAAGCUCCUCGAUGAUUUAUACUGUGGGUCCUCACUCCAGUUACACAAGUGGCUACUUCUGGAAUUCCAGGUAGGUUGGUAAAUUACUGUGCCUGGAAAAUUCAUCCAAGACAGUCCUCCCUCCCUCGCCUAAUCCAGAUGCGAUGGUACUAACUGGGUCAUGAGCCUGACUUGUCCUCCUACAAGCUGACACCCAAAGGCAUACGGAAUGUGUGGGGGUGUUCUUGUCUCCCCCCAUGCCUUUUUUUGUUGCUAGAUAUGCUUUUAAAAGAUGGACUGUUGCAUGAUGGAAUAAGUACCAAACUGCUGAUAAGAUGUAGAAAUAUGUAGAAAGCUACCACUUCCAGUGACAACGACCUUGGGUCUUCCCCGUCCCUUCUCCCUGUCAUUCUAGAAUAAAUUACCUCAUCAAGAAUGCCCA
rnacentral:lncRNA from 1 species